ACGCUCGACACCUACGGGGGCAGCAGUUGGGAAUAUUGGACAAUGGAGGAAACUCUGAUCCAGUGACGCCGCGUGAAGGAAGAGGGUCUUCGGAUUGUAAACUUAUUUUGUCAGGGAAGAAAAAAUGACUGUACCUGAAGAAAAAGCACCGGCUAACUACGUGCCCGCAGCCGCGGUAAUACUGAGCGGGCGUGGCAAGGC
rnacentral:rRNA from 1 species